GUCCACACUGGGACUGAGAUCAGCACCAGAGUCUUAUGGGCGGCAGCAGUGAGCAAUAUUCCGCAAUGGGGGAAAGCUUGAGGCAGCGUUGCCGUGUGAGGGAUGAAUGUGUUGGAAUGGUCAACCUCUGUCCAGAUGGAAGAAGGACGUGACGGUACCUUCAAAGGAAGCCCCGGCUAACUACGUGCCAGCAGCCGCGGUAAUACGUAGGGGGCGAGCGUUGUCCGGAAUUAUUGGGCGUAAAGGGCGCGUAGGCGGUGACACAAGUCAGAUGAUAAAGGCCCGGGCUCAACCGGUGAUAGGCACUUGAUACUGGGCAGCUAGAGUGCGGGAGAGGGGAGUGGAAUUCCAGGUGUAGGGGUGAAAUGCGUAGAUAUCUGGAAGAACACCGGUGGCGAAGGCGGCUAUCUGGACUGAUACUGACGCUGAGGCGCGAAAGCUGGGGGAGCAAACAGGAUUAGAUACCCUGGUAGUCCAAGCCGUAAACGAUGGGCACUAGGUGUAGGGGGUAUUGACCCCCCCGGUGCCGGAGCUAACGCA
rnacentral:rRNA from 1 species